UUCAAAUAUCUUCUGCCUUUUGCCUUUCAAU
rnacentral:piRNA from 1 species